rnacentral:rRNA from 1 species
AAGUCAUGCGAGCUGAGCGUUCUCUACCUAUGUUGAGAGCGCGGCACACGACUCCGUAACACGUAGUUAACCUGCCCUUAGGAUGGAGAUAACCCCGGGAAACUGGGAUUAAUACCCAAUAGGUGAUAAUGCCUGGAAUGGUCUAUCACUGAAAAAGCGAUGGGAACAUGCUCCCAACGUUGCCUAAGGAUGGGACUGCGUCCGAUCAGGUUGUUGGCGGGGUAACGGCCCACCAAGCCUAUUACCGGUACGGGCCCUGAGAGGGGGAGCCCGGAGGUGGAAACUGAGACAAGGUUCCAGGCCCUACGGGGCGCAGCAUGCGCGAAAACUCCACAAUGUGCGAAAGCAUGAUGGGGUUAUCCCGAGUGCCGUCCGAUGAGGAUGGCUUUUACUUGGUGUAAGUAUCCAAGGGAAUAAAGGGGGGGCAAGACUGGUGUCAGCCGCCGCGGUAAUACCAGCCCCCUGAGUGGUAAGGACGAUUAUUUGGCCUAAAGCGUCCGUAGCCGGCCGGGUAAGUUUCCCGUUAAAUCCAACGUCUCAAGCGUUGGACUGCGGGAAAUACUGCCUGGCUAGAGAGUGGGAGAGGUCAGCGGUAUUCUGGGGGUAGGGGCGAAAUCCUUUGAUCCCCGGAGGACCACCAGUGGCGAAGGCUGCUGACUAGAACACGUCUGACGGUCAGGGACCAAAGCUGGGGUAGCGAACCGGAUUAAAUACCCGGGUAGUCCCAGCCGUAAACCAUGCAUGCUAGGU